GUAUGUGUCAUUUUUAGGUUUGCCUCUUGGUGUGUCUUAACACAUUUCAUUGGCUUUGCAUAUUGGCCACAGGCAGGAUUUGUGAUCUGUGGGCCUGUCCGCCUGUAACUGUUCAGUGAGCUUUGUUUGUGUCUCUGAAGAGCAGCCAGCAGCCUUAGAGGUGCCGUCCUGAGCUUCUAACAGUAAAUUCUUCUCUUAAGGUUAUUUAAGCAGAUACCGUCCACGUUUGUGUGAGAGAUGAGAAGCCUGAUUGGUGUCAGCACAAUGACCAUCAAAGGAGCAGGCUCUGCUGGUUGCUGAGAAGGAAGCCGGUUGCUGUUCCUUCUGCCCCUCCCUGGUUGAGAUUGGUGUGUUUAGAAUCUGCAGCAAGAAGAUAGCAAAGCUGAAGGCAGAAGUGUGAGCCUGCUAGACGUGGUGAGGAGCCUACGGCCUCCUUCUGGCAUCCAGAGACCAAUGCAGAAAACCACAAUGAAACAAAAGUCAGAGUUGUGGUGCCCAGCGCUAAUGGAUACAUCUACAACACAACUCCUUCACCUAAAGUCCGGGGAUCACUGCAGAGAAGUGGGCAGAAAGAUGGCAAGAGCCAGAAGGACAGGGAGUUUACUGUGAGAUUGUGUCACCUAGCAAUGUCAGAAGGACAGCUGUUCAAAAGCACUUUUUCUGUGUCCUUUCUUUUCCUUUUGAAAAUAAAUCCAUGAGACACAUAUAGCCAUGCAUAU
rnacentral:lncRNA from 1 species